rnacentral:rRNA from 1 species
GUGAGGAAUAUUGCGCAAUGGAGGCAACUCUGACGCAGCCAUGGCGCGUGCAGGAAGAAGGCGCUACGCGUUGUAAACUGCUUUUAACCGGGAAGAAACCCCAGGACGUGUCCUGGGUUGACGGUACCGGAGGAAUAAGCACCGGCUAACUUCGUGCCAGCAGCCGCGGUAAUACGAAGGGUGCAAGCGUUAUCCGGAUUCAUUGGGUUUAAAGGGUGCGUAGGCGGAGCGUUAAGUCAGUGGUGAAAUCCUGCAGCUUAACUGUAGACUUGCCAUUGAUACUGGCGCUCUUGAGUGCGCUUGAAGUGGGCGGAAUGUGCCGUGUAGCGGUGAAAUGCUUAGAUAUGGCACAGAACACCAAUUGCGAAGGCAGCUCACUAAGGCGAUACUGACGCUGAGGCACGAAAGCGUGGGGAUCGAACAGGAUUAGAAACCCCUGUAGUCC